rnacentral:rRNA from 1 species
UACGGAGGGGACUAGCGUUGUUCGGAAUUACUGGGCGUAAAGCGCACGUAGGCGGAUUUGUUAGUCAGGGGUGAAAUCCCGAGGCUCAACCUCGGAACUGCCUUUGAUACUGCAAAUCUCGAGUCCGGAAGAGGUGAGUGGAAUUCCUAGUGUAGAGGUGAAAAUUCGUAGAUAUUAGGAAGAACACCAGUGGCGAAGGCGGCUCACUGGUCCGGUACUGGACGCUGAGGUGCGAAAGCGUGGGGAGCAACAGGG